rnacentral:rRNA from 1 species
CAGCCGCCACGGGAAUACAGAGGGUGCGAGCGUUAAUCGGAUUUACUGGGCGUAAAGCGUGCGUAGGCGGCUUCUUAAGUCGGAUGUGAAAUCCCUGAGCUUAACUUAGGAAUUGCAUUCGAUACUGGGAAGCUAGAGUAUGGGAGAGGAUGGUAGAAUUCCAGGUGUAGCGGUGAAAUGCGUAGAGAUCUGGAGGAAUACCAAUGGCGAAGGCAGCCAUCUGGCCUAAUACUGACGAUGAGGUACGAAAGCAUGGGGAGCAAACAGGAUUAGAUACCCCCGUAGUCCCUGUCUCUUAUAC